rnacentral:rRNA from 1 species
GUCUAUGGCCAUGCCACCCUGAAUGCGUCCAAUCUCGUCUGACCUCAGAGGCUAAGCAGGGUUGGGCCUAAUUAGUACUGGGGUGGGAAAGAGAAGGGGAAGAAUCAAGGAAGGAGGGCC